GAUUGAACGCUGGCGGCAUGCCUAACACAUGCAAGUCGAACGGGAGUAGCAAUACUCUAGUGGCGGACGGGUGAGGAAUACGUAGGAAUUUGCCCUUAAGUGGGGGAUAACCCGGGGAAACCCGGAUUAAUACCGCAUGACCUCGAAAGAGCAAAGUGGGGGAUCGCAAGACCUCACGCUUUUGGAGAAGCCUACGUCGGAUUAGCUAGUUGGUGAGGUAAUGGCUCACCAAGGCGACGAUCCGUAACUGGUCUGAGAGGAUGAUCAGUCACACCGGAACUGAGACACGGUCCGGACUCCUACGGGACGGCAGCA
rnacentral:rRNA from 1 species